ensembl:lncRNA
GGGAGGGGGAGGAUAAUGAUAUUAUUCUAUGUGUAGGUAGGGAUGGGGGAUAAUGAUAUUAUUCUAUGUGUAGGUGGGGAGGGGAGGGGUGAUAAUGAUAUUAUUCUAUGUGUAGGUGGGGAGGGGGAGGGGUGAUAAUGAUAUUAUUCUAUGUUUAGGUGGGGAGGGGAGGGGGUGAUAAUGAUAUUAUUAUAUGUGUAGGUGGGGAGGGGGGUGAUAAUGAUAUUAUUCUAUGUGUAGGUGGGGAGGGGAGGGGGUGAUAAUGAUAUUAUUAUAUGUGUAGGUGGGGAGGGGGUGAUAAUGAUAUUAUUCUAUGUGUAGGUGGGGAGGGGAGGGGGUGAUAAUGAUAUUAUUAUAUGUGUAGGUGGGGAGGGGUGAUAAUGAUAUUAUUCUAUGUGUAGGUAGGGAGGGGAGGGGUGGAUAAUGAUAUUAUU